CUUUCUCCGCCGGCGACCGGCGCACGGGUGAGUAACACGUAUGCAACCUGCCCCUGUCAGGGGGACAACCCGCCGAAAGGCGGGCUAAACCCGCGUACAUGCCACCGGGGCAUCCCGGAGGCAGGAAAAGGCUUCGGCCGGACAGGGAUGGGCAUGCGGCNCAUUAGGCAGUAGGCGGGGUAACGGCCCACCUAACCGACGAUGCGUAGGGGUUCUGAGAGGAAGGUCCCCCACACUGGUACUGAGACACGGACCAGACUCCUACGGGAGGCAGCAG
rnacentral:rRNA from 1 species